GCUUCUAGAGGAUAGUGGCCAGCUGCUGCCAGCCUCUGACCCCUGUCCUCUGCACCGCAG
rnacentral:miRNA from 1 species